CCUACGGGUGGCUGCAGUGAGGAAUAUUGGUCAAUGGGCGGAAGCCUGAACCAGCCAUGCCGCGUGCAGGAAGACGGCCCUAUGGGUUGUAAACUGCUUUUGUACAAGGGUAAACCUGAAUACGUGUAUUCAGCUGCAUGUACUGUACGAAUAAGGAUCGGCUAAUUCCGUGCCAGCAGCCGCGGUAAGACGGAGGAUACAGGCGUUAUCCGGAUUUAUUGGGUUUAAAGGGAGCGUAGGCGGAUUGAUAAGUUAGAUGUGAAAUGUCCGGGCUUAACCCGGGAACUGCAUCUGAUACUGUCGGUCUAGAGACUAGGUGCGGUAGGCGGAAUGUGUGGUGUAGCGGUGAAAUGCUUAGAGAUCAUACAGAACACCGAUUGCGAAGGCAGCUUAC
rnacentral:rRNA from 1 species